CUCAUUAAAUUUGUGGUCUCUGCCAGACCCAUACAUCAGCUUAUGAUCCUCGAGGCGCCGGCUUGGGUGUUUGAAGAGAUAAAUGGCUGGAUGCGAUCCUUCUUUUGGGCUGGGAAGGAGAAGUCUAAUGGAGGGCAGUGCUUGGUGGCGUGGAACACUAUAUGCCGCCCAACUUGCUAUGGAGGUUUGGGCAUAAAAAACCUCAGGUUACAAGCUUUGGCGCUCAGGGCACGGUGGGAGUGGUUGCGACGUACAGAUCCUGAACGACCAUGGCAAGGAAUC
rnacentral:rRNA from 1 species